rnacentral:rRNA from 1 species
AGCAGCCGCGGUAAUUCCAGCUCCAAUAGCGUAUAUUAAAGUUGUUGCAGUUAAAAAGCUCGUAGUUGAAUUUCGGGAUCAAUUAAUUGGUCGUGCCUCUGGUACGUACUGAUUUUAUUGGUUUCUCCCUUCUGACGAACCAUGAUGUCAUUAAUUUGGUGUCGUGGAGAAUCAGGACUGUUACUUUGAAAAAAUUAGAGUGUUUAAAGCAAGCUAACGCUUGAAUACAUUAGCAUGGAAUAAUGAAAUAGGACGUUUGAUCCUAUUUUGUUGGUUUCUAGGAUCGACGUAAUGAUUAAUAGGGAUAGUUGGGGGCAUUAGUAUUCAAUUGUCAGAGGUGAAAUUCUUGGAUUUAUUGAAGACUAACUACUGCGAAAGCAUUUGCCAAGGAUGUUUUCAUUAAUCAAGAACGAAAGUUAGGGGAUCGAAGACGAUCAGAUACCGUCGUAGUCUUAACCAUAAACUAUGCCGACUAGGGAUCGGAUGAUGUAAUU